GACGAACGCUGGCGGCGUGCCUAAUACAUGCAAGUAGAACGCUGAAGGAGGAGCUUGCUUCUCUGGAUGAGUUGCGAACGGGUGGGUAACGCGUAGGUAACCUGCCUGGUAGCGGGGGAUAACUAUUGGAAACGAUAGCUAAUACCGCAUAAGAGUAGAUGUUGCAUGACAUUUGCUUAAAAGGUGCAAUUGCAUCACUACCAGAUGGACCUGCGUUGUAUUAGCUAGUUGGUGGGGUAACGGCUUACCAAGGCGACGAUACAUAGCCGACCUGAGAGGGUGAUCGGCCACACUGGGACUGAGACACGGCCCAGACUCCUACGGGAGGCAGCAGUAGGGAAUCUUCGGCAAUGGACGGAAGUCUGACCGAGCAACGCCGCGUGAGUGAAGAAGGUUUUCGGAUCGUAAAGCUCUGUUGUAAGAGAAGAACGAGUGUGAGAGUGGAAAGUUCACACUGUGACGGUAUCUUACCAGAAAGGGACGGCUAACUACGUG
rnacentral:rRNA from 1 species